CUGACAAUGAAGGACAUUGAAAACAUCAUUGUGAAUGAGGAGGAGAGCCUGAAGGACAACUCAGGAAACUGCCAUACUGAAUUUGAGGGAGUGCAUUCGAAAGGGAAGAAUCGGCAAACGUGCGUUCGCAAGAGCCUCAUCUGUGCUUUCGCAAUGGCCUUCAUCAUCAGUGUCAUGCUCAUUGCGGCCAACCAGAUGUUACGUAAGGGCAUGGACUAGCUCCGUCCACUGUGACCCCUGAGUGAUAUUACCUCUGCUCCACUUAUCUAGCCAAACAAGACAUACUGUAUCAAUGAACCUCUAAAUAAGUCAUUGAUGUUGAUCGCAUUGUAACUGGGUUAGCAGUGAGCAAGUGUCCCACUGUGCGGAAGACACCAGCCCACUACUCUCUGGAUUUAAUGCACUCUAAAGACUUCUAUGCAUCCAGCUUUAAAGCAUCUAAUGAAGUACUACUUUCUCAGAAGAACUAGAGCCAACACAUGGAUGUAAUUGAAGUCACAAACUGACAUGAUAAAACUCUAAUAACAGUUGUUUACCCUCCCUUUAUCUCUCUGACAGGAAGACACAAGGGCUCCUCUUCGGUGCCCCUUUAAUGCAAUAAGAUUUUGGCCCCCUCUUGUAUUUGUGUAUGUUUUUUCUCUCUCAUCAACUCCAGACUCCAUCUGAAACAGGAGUCAUGAGGAGGACACCACUCACCAGUAUCUCCCAUCAAGUUCAGUUCAUUGUCUGUAUUUGAGCAUGUGCAUGUAAACUUGCUUCAGUCCGAAAAACAGCAUUAGCUUUUGCUAUUGAUUAAAAAUGGAGUCACACAAGCUGUAGCAAACACAGUGACUGAAGGCUGAUACCAUAUUUUCCAGACAAUAAGUUGGUCUGGAGUUAGAAGGUUCAUCUAUGAGCAAAGUGUGGGAUUCAAAUAUAUAUUCGUUUUAUUUCUGAUACCUAGCUACAGUAUAUAGGUGGUCAAGUUAACAAACAGCAGAUGUGUUAUUUGAAUCUUUUUCUAUGCAGUUCAGACGUUACUUGCUUUAAGUCACCAAGAUCACCAACAGUUCAACAGGAAACCUUCUGUCAGACAAUAUUUACUUGAUUGUAUCUUUACAAUCAUGCAGAUUUAGGUCAUACAGGCAACAUAUUUGGCAGACAGGCAGAAAUGCUUCCUUAUCCUGAUUGGUUGGAUGUUGGUGGUUUCAUUUAAAUUUUCUCUCAUUUACAGAGCCUGGCGCAUCACAGAGACCAAGAGUUUCUCCUCUGAGCAGAUAUUUAAUUGAAUAUGAGGAGAAUUUAUAAAUCCAUGGGGCACGGUGGCUUAGUGGUUAGCCCUUUUGUCUCACACCUCCGCAGUUUGGGGUUCAAAUCUUGCUUCCACACCUGUGUGCAUAGCGUUUGCAUGUUCUCCCCAUGUAUUGGGGGUUUCCCCCAGGUACCCUGGUUUCUUCCCCCCAGUCCAAAUACAUGUCUUGCAUUUCCAAAUUGUCCGUAGUGUGUGAAUGUGUGUGCGAUUGUGCCCUGCGAUGGGUCGGCACCCCGUCCAGAGUGUAGCCCGCCCUGUGCCGUGAGCUCCCUGAGAUAAGCUCCAGGCUCCCCUUCAACCCUGUGUAGGAUAAGCAGUACAGAAAAUGGAUGGAUGGAUGGAUGGAUGGAUGAAUGGAUUCAUAAAUCCCUGAGCCCACCUUUAAUACAAAACAUCCAGCAUUUAUUGUCUGGAAAAUAUGGUACAUAAUUAAACACAGGGUAAUUGCCAGUACCUGUAAAUAGAAAACUAUGUGUAGCUAUAAUAAAAAAAUUAAUAGAUAUGUUAGUAAUUGCUAGAAAUGAUUGUAAAGACAUGUCAGGGGUCAUUCUAUCUGAUCUAAACUGAGUAUAAGGUCUUCUAAAGGUCUGAUAAACAUUUUGUCUGAUUACCAGUACUUCUGCAGAAGUGUCUACGACAAGUUUUUGGACUUUUUUGGUCCAUUUUUGAUUACUCAUUCUGUUCAGACUCAGGCUCUGUGAAUGCAGCAUUUACGUGCACCUGUAAUAAACUGGUCUGUCUCUUAACCUUGUCUUUUUAUCUCCUAUUACUGUAUGUAACCCUUUUCUCUGUAGUGAAAAUGCUAUAACUAUUUUUGAAUAUAUUUAAAUGUGUAUUCCCUUUGCCUGUUCACUCUGUUUAUGUGUAAUAGUGUAGCAAAGUCAUGUUUUCUCAUAUAGCACUGCAUGCAUGUCUAUGUAUAUUAUGCUGUAUAGCAGAAUUGUCUGUUGGAUGCAUCCCUGAAUGUCUAGUCCAUGCAUGUCAGAAACUGUUUCUACACAUAUGUGUAAAGCACUGGGAUUGCUGGGGUUUUGUUCUUGGAAGCAAUCAGCUGUCUUCCUGUCAUCUCUCAUUUAAGAAAAGACUUGAUGAGAUAAUUGAAUGAAAUGGGCCAUUAUGGGUGAUUUACCGUAUGUAAGUAAUAAAACACACUAGGGCAUGGUGUUAUACGAAAAUAAACAAUAAUGAGGUUGAUUAUAUUGAUUGGUGUUACCACCCUGAAGCUAAUUAUUUUCCAAUAACAGCAUGUUCUGAAGUGUCGUAUUCCUCUUAUACUACAGCAGUUUGCCAACUAUAACAAUUUUUAUUUAUUAAAGAACAACACACCGUACUGUUUAUCCAUUUAUAUUUUACAAUAUAUGUUACAAAAGAAGUGAAUCCCUGUUAUUCCUCCCCUCACAAGCCUCUCUUUUUUUCUCUUUCUUUAAGUUAAUAAAACAAAUGCAACUUGUCAUGUUAGUGAGAAAGCGCAAGGCCCUCCCUCCUGUUGGAAAACUUAAAGUUACAGCUUUACCUCUGACUGUUACAAAGUGCUGACACUGGAGACUCCUUCCAAAAAUGUUAAAUAAACGUCUCCUCAUCUGUCUAUGUGGACCGUCUGACAUGCAAGUUCCUGUGUAUGUUGUUACUAAAGAACCAAUAACAUUAGAAAGGAGUACAUUAAUACAAACCUGUGAUUUGCCUUGCAGCUGACACUACUGUCAGAGCUGCUGUUAGAGAAAAUUCAUUAAUUAACACCUUCUGACUAAUGAGAUUGGAGAAUUCAUCGGUGCUGUGGUAUAAGCUUGAAAUAAUAAUUGUACAUUAGAGAUCAGAGAAAUGUUUAGGGGUGUAAAGAUUUACUGAAUAUUCAAGACAAGGCUGCACUGAUGCCAAACAGUGAGAAGUCCAGCAAGAGUCAGGAGGCAAUGGCGAAUGAAUACAGGAAAUUACAAUAGCACACGUGCAUCUCUUUCUUAUUACCAUGAAAAUAUUAGGUACAAACGUUCCAGUCCCAAUGAAGAAGGUGUGGCCUCUGUGCAUGUCAGUUCCUAUGGAGGAAACAAGGCUAUCCAACUGUUUCUGCACAAUUCUGAAUCACAUUAUGUCACAUCAAAACAAAUUAUUAUCAUUGUAUUAUUUAGAAUUGGCAGAUCUUUCCUAGGAUGGAUUGUUAAUGUGCAGAGGUUUUGUGAUGCACACCGCUGUUAAAUGAAUAAUCGGACAGUGGCUCCACCUAGUGAGCUUUGCAAUCUGUUGGGGUUUUUUUUGUUUGUUUGUUUGUUUGUUUGUUUUUAAGGAGAAAGCAAAUAUUGAUCAUGUAAUCUACUUAAAAUGACCUAUAUUUAAAAUAAUUCAUGAAAAACAAUCAAAUAUGUUUCAAUGCUAUAAUUUCCAGUUAAAAAUAUAAUUGCAAAAUAUAUGCAAUAUUCUGUCCAUAGAAAAAAAAUAUGAUAAGGUCUGUGCUUCUGUCAUGUAUUAGUCAUGUUGAAGCCAUGUAGUAGACUGAAUGUGCCAAAACUCCAAGUGCAAUAGUUUGUUUAUUCCCCAGUCAUUCAGUUUAAUCUACUCAUUACUGUCAAAUCUACUUCCGUCACUGUCUUCAAUUACAAACACUCAGUAAAAAGACUACUUUCGGUGCGUUGUCUUUUUUUUUUGUUGUUGUUGUUGUUUUUUACUGUAUAGGUUUUUGAAAUAAUUUCCUUUACUACAGUUUAUUACAGUUUUUAUUUUGCUUAUAAAUUAUUUGUUUUUGUUCCAUAGGUUUUUAUUAUACAUUCAGGAUUUUUUAUCUGGUUAAGGGGACAGUGGGCUCUUGAAUAUAGUUUGCUCUCAAUCCAGAAUCCUCUCUUUUAGCAUGCCAAGUGAAAAUGUUCAGAAGAAAUUUUUAUUAUUUAUUCUUGUGUAUAUGAUGUAUUUUAUUUUUAAGAAGUGUAAGAGGGAUUGAGGAUCUGUAUAAUGGUAUACACUUUGCAUGCAGACUAUGGAUUGACAGUAAAAAAAAAUUAUAGCAAUAUGAUUUUUAAAUAAUAAAAACAAAACUUCUAAGAAAAUAUGAACGUAUCAUUUGUAUAUUGAAUAAAUGACCUAUACAGUGAAUGUGAAAAUAAACACCUUGUAUCAACUACA